CAAGCGGCUAGUGCGCGUCUGACCCAAGCUGCUAGUGCGCGUCUGACCCAAGCGGCUAGUGCGCGUCUGACCCAAGCGGCUAGUGCGCGUCUGACCCAAGCGGCUAGUGCGCGUCUGACCCAAGCGGCUAGUGCGCGUUUGUCCCAAGCGGCUAGUGCGCGUUUGUCCCAAGCGGCUAGUGCGCGUUUGUCCCAAGCGGCUAGUGCGCGUCUGUCCCAAGCGGCUAGUGCGCGUCUGUCCCAAGCGGCUAGUGCGCGUCUGACCCAAGCGGCUAGUGCGCGUCUGACCCAAGCGGCUAGUGCGCGUCUGACCCAAGCGGCUAGUGCGCGUCUGACCCAAGCUGCAGCACAACGGCCAGAGAAGUUAAGCAGUCGCUCAGCGCCUCAUCUCGUCAGCCGCAGCACUUCCUCAGAUUCUGCCGCCAGCACCUCCAGUGACUCCAGUUCAGAAAACAGCGACUCCUGACGGCUGUAAUAUUUAUAUUUAUAUUUAUUUCUUUGUUUAUUAUCAAAAGAGAGCUCUGCGAAACUGUCGAACAUGCCUAUUUUCCAAAUGUUUAAAUAUUUAGGUAUGGGAAUUUGAUUGUACUCUGCCUUUCUCACUCAUUCCUUGUACAUCGUAAUAUCCGGCAAUGGUAUUUCUUAUCAGCGGUUAUAAAUUGAAUGGGGCAUAUUUCAUAACAUGGGAGUUUAAUAUCCUGUUUCUGUCACUCAUUUUGCCCGCGCUCUUUAAUUACAAGACGGGCCCUUUUCAAAACACGCCAUUGAAAUGAAGUAAUAUUCUUCUCAACAUCAUUUUUUGCAGCAGACCACUUUCUAUAGUAGCUCAUGAAGGAUGUUGUGUAAGAAACAACCUCAAGCACGUUGCACAGUUAUGAGGGCUGCUGUGCUGUCUGAGACCUUCAUGGUGACCAUAUAGUCAUGUAGUCUAAACCUGUACUCCGUAUCAGGUGUGGAGGAAGCAUUAUCUAUGUUUUGCUGUUCAGCACUAAAUGCAUGUGCCAAUUUUAUUUUCUACCUUUUUAAAAUAUUUUGUUUAUUUUCUUUGACUUCCACUUUUUUUGGUUGUCAUCCGCGAUAUAAAAUACUGCUCGUACACACUGCUAGUGUCGAGCCGUCCGUCAAGCAGUAAUCACCUCUGUUGAAUGUUUGGGGCAUAAUGCAGAGCUGUAAGUGUGUUUCCCCCCCCAGGCUUCCUAACAUGGUAUGGAAGUCAACUUGAGUUCAUUGAUGUAAACAUCAUGCCUGCUGUUCUUCACGCCCCCCCCUACCCCCCCUUCCCUGUUGCACGCCGUUUCAUUGCUGCUUUUUCAAACCUGUUAAAACGCUAACAACCUACUUUGUGUUUAAGUCUCUAGAUAUCCAAAAUGCCAUCUUUAUAUUAACGCUUUAUAUGCUCUUGUUUC
ensembl:lncRNA